CUUGUGGGUCUCACCACAAGCUUUGUUUGGAUAUUUUAAUUAUUUAUUUUGUAAAUUUUGAAAUAUUUUAAAUUUUAGUAUUUUUUUCUUAAAAAAAUAUUUUUAUUUUUACCAAUUACUCUAAUGAACGAUAGAUUGAAUUUUUUUAAAAACUGACAAAAAAAUAAAAAAUGGUUACCAAUUAGAAAAUAAUUUCAAAAAAAAGUCAUUUCGUCAUAAAUUGAGCCGGCCAUAAUAUAGAUGAACCUUGUUUGAUGAUACAAUGAACCGGUCAAUUCCAGCAAGUCACCAUGUGCAUCGCACGUGCCUUCACACUAGAUUACUAAAAUACCAUCACCAUAUUAUUCUCGUAGAAUUUUCUUUAUAGAUUUUUCGUAGAAUAAAGGAUGCAUGUCUUUUAAUCUCGGUAUACGUAAAUAGUUAAUUAGCUAGAAAUUAAUUUUAACUUAAGAGAAAUACUAAUCACCGUCCAAUAGGCAAGACCGACCUAGAGUUUUUGGGAACUAGUGCUCCUUUAUAUUUUAGGGUAAUUUAAAAAUAUAUAUAUACAUGAACUUUAAAAAGAUGUCAUUAGAAGAAUAUAAACGAGGAUAAACAUGUCAUUUUUACUAUGUUUGUAAGGAAAGAGAUGUGAUUAUUAUUUGUCUUUAUUCUAUUCAUUAAGCAUGCAUCCAAAUAACAUUGAUAAAAGGGUUGCAUUUAUAUAGUUCAAGAUUUUAUGAUUUUAAUAAAAAUAAAUAAAAAAUUAAUGUUUUGUUUGAUAAUUGUUUAAAACUUCAGAAUUUUUCUUAUAAUUUUUUCAAAAAAAUAAUAUUUGUGUAUUUUUUUUAAAAAUCUUUAGGUAAUUGAUCGCAAUACAAGCAAUACCCUCUUCCCAAACCCUACACAUAUUAAAAUUAAAUAAAUAAAAGCCAAAGAUUAUCACAUCUGAAAUUCAUUCAUUCGCACAUAAAAAUUAUAUAUUCAUGAACUUUUGUGCUAUAAAAAAACUUGAUAGACUAAUUGUCUUCACCGUCUAAUUCACUGUUUCCGAGACACGCGACUUUAAUCCCAUUUCCAUCUCAUAAUAUUCCUUUAAAUAAUCAUCAUCUAGGAGAGAUCAUUUAAACUUCAAUAUAUCAACAGAUUUCAUCAAGAGAUUCUCCUCAACCAAAAAAGCUUCUUCUAAAACUCAAAUUCCAAAUUAGUAGUUAGGACUCAACUGAGCUUAAUAAAGAGCUGGUAAAUUACAAAAAUGAUCCCUGUAUUCUCAACACAUUUGGUCCUUGUAUUUUUUUAAAUCUACAAUUUAACCUUGUGUUUGAUUUUCUAUCCAAAUCAGUCUAAUUGGUUUAUAAGGAGUGGUUCCAUGAACUCCAUAGGUUUUGGUUUCGUGGCAAUCUCAUCACUCUUCAAGGAUGUGGAGGUACUUUGAAGCAAAGUCCUUAUUGAAUCUCAUUAACCACUCAGCAAAGAAGCUUUCAUGGUCCCAAGCCACCCUAUUUUUUCUAACUUUACCAAUAGCUAAUACGCACUGCAAAAUCGACACAAGUGGAAGGCCCACUUUGGAGCGUUGACUAUUUCCAAACUCCAUGGCGGGUCCUAUAUUUUGUUAUGGUUUAGAUUUUCAUGUUGCUCACCUUCACAUAAACAGUCGUGACUGUUUUAAGACUCCGUGGUGGGUCAUAUAUGUUGUGGUGACUGAGAUUUUUAUAUUGCUCACCUUUACAUUCGUGGUGGGUCAUAUCUAUUGUUGUGGCUAAGAUUCUCCUAUUACUCACCUACACAAACAAUUGUGACUAUUUCCAGACUCCAUGGGUCAUAUCUAUUGUUGUGGUCGAGAUUCUCCUUUUGUUCACCUUCACCUCCGUAGCAGGUCAUAUUUGUUGUUUUGGCUGAAAUUCUUCUAUUGCUCAUCUUUACACAAACACUAUUUUCAGACUUCGUGACGGGUCAUAUCUUUUGUUUAGUGGGGUCAAAAGAGAUAAAAUUUAUAUUUAGUGAGGGUAAAAGAGCUAAAAUUUAUGUUCACUGGGGUUAAAAUUGUAGAACUUAUAAAAUUUAUGAUAAAUUAUUAAUUUUUGUGGGAUCAAAAUUAUAUUUAUAAUAAAUUAUAUUUAAAAAAAUAAUAUAAUUUUUUUUUCCAGUGAGGUCAAUUUUACACUUGUCCUCAUUGACUCCGCCCCUGGUUGUUGUGGCUAAGGUUCUCUUGUGGCCUCACACAAACAGUGUGCUCUAAAUUUUGUACCAUGUACCAAUAAUAGUCAUCUGUUUAAUUUAUGAUAAUAUUGGUGCAUGCAGGGACGGAAUCAGAUUUGAUCUUUGGGGGGUCAUGACAGAGAUUGAGAGCAGACAUUAGAGUUAGGGGGGCCACCGUAUUGUAUUUAUGUAAUAUAUAUAAAAAGGAUAGGUUAUUAGAGCUUAUAGCAGAAGUAAGGGAGUCAUGGCCCCUACGAUUGAAGCACAACUCCAUCCAUGGGUGCAUGGUACGUCUCUUUCACACGCUAACACGUUUUUAAUU
rnacentral:lncRNA from 1 species